rnacentral:rRNA from 1 species
GGGGAAUAUUGCACAAUGGGCGCAGGCCUGAUGCAGCAACGCCGCGUGAGGGAUGACGGCAUUCGGGUUGUAAACCUCUUUUAGUAGGGAAGAAGCGCAAGUGACGGUACCUGCAGAAAAAGCACCGGCUAACUACGUGCCAGCAGCCGCGGUAAUACGUAGGGUGCAAGCGUUGUCCGGAAUUAUUGGGCGUAAAGAGCUCGUAGGCGGCUUGUCGCGUCUGCCGUGAAAACCCGAGGCUCAACCUCGGGCGUGCGGUGGGUACGGGCAGGCUAGAGUGUGGUAGGGGAGACUGGAAUUCCUGGUGUAGCGGUGAAAUGCGCAGAUAUCAGGAGGAACACCGAUGGCGAAGGCAGGUCUCUGGGCCACUACUGACGCUGAGAAGCGAAAGCGUGGGGAGCGAAC